rnacentral:rRNA from 1 species
UACAGAGGGGGCAAGCGUUAUUCGGAAUUAUUGGGCGUAAAGGGCGCGUAGGCGGCUUUGCAAGUGGCGGGUGAAAUCCCUCGGCUUAACCGAGGAACUGCCUGUCAAACUGCAUGGCUUGAGACCGGGAGAGGUGAGUGGAAUUCCCAGUGUAGCGGUGAAAUGCGUAGAUAUUGGGAGGAACACCAGUGGCGAAGGCGGCUCACUGGACCGGCACUGACGCUGAUGCGCGAAAGCGUGGGGAGCAAACAGG